rnacentral:misc_RNA from 1 species
GGUAUGCGCCGUCCCCGGGCUUUCUCUCUAAUAGAGUAGCUCGGUCCCCUGGAUAGCUUAUUGCUGUCUUCCUCUUGAGAGGUUCCUGGGCGUGCAAGCGCCGGGCAGUUCCACAAGAAAUUUCUGGGGGGCGAUGCGGAGAGAAAAAGAAGGGUUUCCCACGAAUCCCGUCUCUCGUCUCCCCCGUCGCCCUCCACUGGGAGUGUUCUGCGGACGGUUGGCCCUUUAAAUUGGUACUUGCUUGUACAACUUUGGAGGGCUGUUGAGUGCAAUGCGUGGAUCCUUGUCAUCUUGACAUGGAAACUCGAUACCGAUCACUAUGGUGACGGUGGGCUUUUUGUUCG